CCCAAGUGUCUCCUGCCGCGCGAAGCAAAUCCCACAUGGAGUGUGCAAGUGCUGUCUGGGACACGGGCUGAAGGUUGUGCCUUCCAGAGGGAAAAAGCAAAGUGCACCUCACUACCCCCCAGGUAUUGAGGCUGGCCAUGACUGAUCCUUCUGAUGCUGCCAUGAGACCAGAGGGAACCACAGCCUGCAGGAGACACCCAAAAAGAGGAAAACAAACAGUUGAGACUUGUUUCAGGGGUCUGGCCUCCAGGCAAAGAAAUGUGGACAAAUGGAUGACCAGAACUGCACCCUGAAAGUAAUCUGCUCAUGGAAACUGUCCAGGAAUAUUGGAUUGGACUGUGGUGGUCAUGAUGAAUGGCAGAACGGAUUUUCCACAAUCUCAACGAGGAAAGAUUUGAAGGCUCAAAAAGAAGAGGCCACCACUGAGGUCUACAGUGUUUCCUCCAGUUCAAAUAAAAUGAA